GUGCCUGUAGCUCAAUGGCAGAGCGCUGGACUGUGGAUCCAGUUGUUGUGGGUUCGAGACCCAUCAGGCACC
rnacentral:tRNA from 1 species